rnacentral:rRNA from 1 species
CCUACGGGAGGCUGCAGUGGGGGAUAUUGCACAAUGGGGGAAACCCUGAUGCAGCGACGCCGCGUGAGUGACGAAGGAUUUCGGUAUGUAAAGCUCUAUCAGCAGGGAAGAAAAAAGACGGUACCUGACUAAGAAGCCCCGGCUAACUACGUGCCCGCAGCCGCGGUAAUACGUAGGGGGCAAGCGUUAUCCGGAUUUACUGGGUGUAAAGGGAGCGUAGGCGGCAUGGCAAGUCUGAUGUGAAAACCCGGGGCUCAACCCCGGGACUGCAUUGGAAACUGUCAGGCUAGAGUGUCGGAGAGGUAAGUGGAAUGCCUAGUGUAGCGGUGAAAUGCGUAGAUAUUAGGAGGAACACCAGUGGCGAAGGCGGCUUGCUGGACGAUGACUGACGUUGAGGCUCGAAAGCGUGGGGAGCAAACAGGAUUAGAUACCCUUGUAGUC